rnacentral:misc_RNA from 1 species
GAUGAAGAACGUAGCGAAAUGCGAUAAGUAAUGUGAAUUGCAGAAUUCAGUGAAUCAUCGAAUCUUUGAACGCACAUUGCGCCCGCCAGUAUUCUGGCGGGCAUGCCUGUCUGAGCGUCAUUUCAACCCUCAUGCCCCUAGGGCGUGGUGUUGGGGAUCGGCCAAAGCCCGCGAGGGACGGCCGGCCCCUAAAUCUAGUGGCGGACCCGUCGUGGCCUCCUCUGCGAAGUAGUGAUAUUCCGCAUCGGAGAGCGAUGAGCCCCUGCCGUUAAACCCCCAACUUUCCAAGGUUGACCUCAGAUCAGGUAGGAAUACCCGCUGAACUUAAGCAUACAAUAAGCGGAGGA